rnacentral:rRNA from 2 species
AUAACGACUCUCGGCAACGGAUAUCUCGGCUCUCGCAUCGAUGAAGAACGCAGCGAAAUGCGAUACCUGGUGUGAAUUGCAGAAUCCCGUGAAUCAUCGAGUCUUUGAACGCAAGUUGCGCCCGAGACCAUUAGGUCGAGGGCACGCCUGCCUGGGCGUCACG